rnacentral:rRNA from 1 species
UCUGAUGUGUUUGAUAUUUUUGUUCAGUUUCAAAAACAUGUUGAACGUCUUCUCAAGCACAAAAUUGUUCAUGUCCAGUCGGAUUGGGGGGGCGAGUAUCGCAACCUCAACUCUUUCUUUCAGUCGCUUGGGAUAGCUCAUCGUUUAGCAUGUCCACAUACACAUCAACAGAAUGGUUCAGUCGAACGUAAGCAUCGUCAUAUUGUUGAAGCUGGUCUUACUCUUUUGGCCCAUGCAUCUGUUCCGUUUCGGUUUUGGAGUGAUGCUUUCACCACUGCAUGCUUUCUCAUCAACCGUACUCCUACUCGUGUUUUAAACAUGAAGACUCCCAUUGAGGUUCUCCUUAAUGAACAACCUGAUUAUACCUUUCUCAAGGUAUUUGGGUGUGCUUGCUGGCCGCAUCUUCGUCCAUAUAACAAGCGCAAGCUUGAGUUUCGUUCUAAGAAGUGUGUUUUUCUUGGCUAUAGCUCUCUUCAUAAAGGUUACAAAUGUCUUCAUGUUCCCACUAAU